UGGGGAAUAUUGCACAAUGGGGGAAACCCUGAUGCAGCGACGCCGCGUGGGUGAAGAAGUAUUUCGGUAUGUAAAGCCCUAUCAGCAGGGAAGAAAAUGACGGUACCUGACUAAGAAGCCCCGGCUAACUACGUGCCAGCAGCCGCGGUAAUACGUAGGGGGCAAGCGUUAUCCGGAUUUACUGGGUGUAAAGGGAGCGUAGGUGGCGUGCCAAGUCAGGAGUGAAAACCCAGGGCCCAACCCUGGGACUGCUCUUGAAACUGGCAGGCUUGAGUGCUGGAGAGGUAAGCGGAAUUCCUAGUGUAGCGGUGAAAUGCGUAGAUAUUAGGAGGAACACCAGUGGCGAAGGCGGCUUACUGGACAGUGACUGACACUGAGGCUCGAAAGCGUGGGGAGCAAA
rnacentral:rRNA from 1 species